AACGCACAUUGCGCCCUUUGGUAUUCCGAAGGGCAUGCCUGUUCGAGCGUCAUUAUCACCCCUCAAGCCCCCGGCUUGGUGUUGGAUGGUUUGGUGACAGAGCCCUUGGGCCACGGUCACCCCUCCCAAAGACAAUGACGGCGGCCUCGUUGGACCCCCGGUACACUGAGUUCUUCACCGAACACGUACUGGAUCAAGGGCCCGCGGAGCACGGUCUGCCUCCCCUCAGGGAGAACUUUUUUCUCAAGGUUGACCUCGGAUCAGGUAGGAAUACCCGCUGAACUUAA
rnacentral:misc_RNA from 1 species